GACGAACGCUGGCGGCGUGCUUAACACAUGCAAGUCGAACGGAAAGGCCCUGCUUGUGUGGGGUGCUCGAGUGGCGAACGGGGGAGUAACACGUGAGUAACCUGCUCUUGACUUUGGGAUAACUUCAGGAAACUGGGGCUAAUACCGGAUAGGAGCUCCUGCUGCAUGGUGAGGGUUGGAAAGUCUCGGCGGGUGGGGAUGGACUCGCGGCUUACCAGCUUGCUGGUGGGGUAGUGGCUUACCAAGGCUUUGACGGGUAGCCGGCCUGAGAGGGGGACCGGCCACCUGGGGCCUAAGAUACGGCCCAGACUCGUACGGGAGGCAGCAGUGGCGAGUAUUGCACAGUGGGAGGAAGCCUGAUGCAGAAACGCCGCGUGCGGGAUGACGGCCUUCGGGUUGUAAACCGCUUUCGCCUGUGACGAAGCGUGAGUGACGGUAAUGGGUAAAGAAGCACCGGCUAACUACGUG
rnacentral:rRNA from 1 species